GAUGAACGCUAGCGACAGGCUUAACACAUGCAAGUCGAGGGGCAGCAUGAUUUGUAGCAAUACAGAUUGAUGGCGACCGGCGCACGGGUGAGUAACGCGUAUGCAACUUACCUAUCAGAGGGGGAUAGCCCGGCGAAAGUCGGAUUAAUACCCCAUAAAACAGGGGUCCCGCAUGGGAAUAUUUGUUAAAGAUUCAUCGCUGAUAGAUAGGCAUGCGUUCCAUUAGGCAGUUGGCGGGGUAACGGCCCACCAAACCGACGAUGGAUAGGGGUUCUGAGAGGAAGGUCCCCCACAUUGGUACUGAGACACGGACCAAACUCCUACGGGAGGCAGCAGUGAGGAAUAUUGGUCAAUGGGCCGAGAGGCUGAACCAGCCAAGUCGCGUGAAGGAAGAAGGAUCUAUGGUUUGUAAACUUCUUUUAUAGGGAAUAAAGUGGAGGACGUGUCCUUUUUUGUAUUGUACCCUAUGAAUAAGCAUCGGCUAACUCCGUGCCAGCAGCCG
rnacentral:rRNA from 1 species